CAAAAAAUCUCUUCCCUCUUUAACUAUUGGAACAACUAAAAUGGAAAACUGACUAAAAGAGGAGGCCAUACGGAGUUCCUUACGACUGCACUGCACCUCUGCUGUUUGAAAGUUGCCUUGUCUGGGUUAGGAGGAGAACAGAUGGGCAGCAGUGAGUGCGAUGAACAGUGUGUAAGAAACUGUGAAUUCUAUUUUUGGUCUGUGUCUUAUCUUGU
rnacentral:lncRNA from 1 species